rnacentral:misc_RNA from 1 species
AAAAUGCGAUACUUGGUGUGAAUUGCAGAAUCCCGUGAACCAUCGAGGUUAACGCAAGUUGCGCCCGAAGCCUUUUGGCCAAGGGCACGUCUGCCUGGGCGUCACGCAUCGCGUCGCCCCCCACAAUUCUCUGUAAGGGGAACUCGUGUUUUGGGGGCGGAUAUUGGUCUCCCGUGCUCAUGGCGUAGUUGGCCGAAAUAGGAGUUCUUUCGAUGGACGCACGAACUAGUGGUGGUCGUAAAAACCCUCGUCUUUUGUUUCGUGCCGUUAGUCGCAAGGGAAACUCUAAGAAAACCCUAACGUGUCGUCUUUAGACGACGCUUCGACCGCGACCCCAGGUCAGGCGGGACUACCCGCUGAGUUUAA